rnacentral:rRNA from 1 species
AACGAACGCUGGCGGCGUGCCUAACACAUGCCAGUCGAACGAGAAAGGGGCUUCGGCUCCGAGUAAAGUGGCGCACGGGUGAGUAACACGUGGGUAACCUGCCUCUAAGAUUGGGAUAACUCGUCGAAAGAUGAGCUAAUACCGAAUAAGACCACAGUUCCCGCGGGAACAGGGGUCAAAGGUAGCCUCUGCUUGCAAGCUAUCACUUAGAGAUGGGCCUGCGCACCAUUAGCUAGUUGGUAGGGUAACGGCCUACCAAGGCAAAGAUGGUUAGCUGGUCUGAGAGGAUGAUCAGCCACACUGGAACUGAGACACGGUCCAGACUCCUACGGGAGGCAGCAGUGGGGAAUAUUGCGAAAUGGGCGGAAGCUAGACGAAGCAACGCCGCGUGAGGGAUGAAGGCCUUCGGGUCGUAAAGAUCUGUCGGGAGGAACGAAUGCUCCUGAGGUUAACAGCCUCGGGAGGUGACGGUACCUUCAAAGGAAGCACCGGCUAACUCUGUG